rnacentral:lncRNA from 1 species
AGGAUCCGAACCAGAAGGCGAUGAAGUUUAAUUUGCCGGAGGAUGAUGAUUUUAGUGAUGAUUACGACGAUGAGGAUGAUUAUGAUGAUGAGGAUGAUUAUGAUGAUGAUGAUCUAGAUGAUCUAGAUGAUGAUUUGGAUGAUGCUCCUCCACUUAAUAAGAUGAAACCUAUGAUGAAUCAAGGUGGGGGUGGGCAGAUGCCUCCGAAUAUGAUGAUGAGCGGGAUGAAGCCUGGCCAGCUUCCGCCACACCUCAUGAAAGGUCCUCCUCCUGGUGGUAAUAACGGUGGAAAUGGUGGCGGAAAUGGCAAGAAAGGUGGUGGGGGAAAUAUUCCUGUUCAGAUGAAUGCUAAUGGUGGAAAGAAAGGUGGUG